ACUCUCUCAUAAAUGCUGAGACAUUGCUUGGGACUGCUUCCUGACAGGCUGCAGAAAGGGGGUGGUUACCUGUAUGGUGUGAACAACAUCCUGCAAGUUUGUGUCAGACCUAAAAAUCUGAGGCCCGUGUUAUUUACUAAGGUAGAUGUGAUUAGCGUGAUCUAAGCUGUUAUGAAGAAUGACUCACUGGCCAGAAGAUGACACCAGUCUGCUCUGUAUAGCACUCUGGAACUUUCCCCUCAGCAAACAAGGGCUGAAGCCCAGCAGUUGCACCAGCACCACGGCGUUCCUCCCACGAGGCCUACUCUUCCUUAUCGUGUCUAUUGGAGAUGUAUAAUAGAUUUGGGAAGCACUGAGAUAAACUCCUGGCAAAAAGACCCACCAAGGACGUUCUGACCUUUCAGAGACACCUCAGCAUCCCCCUAUUGCCUGCUCUCAGGGACAGGCUGGAUCUGCCCUUGGCCAGGUGGGCCAACAUGGAUGUUCCUCUCUGCUUGUCCUGGACACAAUAACAAAAAUCCAGCCCUAUUUCUACCAGCACAAAUGUUUUAUCUUGGCUGCUGCAAAGCUGACACUGGGAAACUGCAGAAAAACUGCAUGUAUUUAUUACCACUCUCGUGGUGAAAACGUAGUGCUUUUCUCCACAAGUUUACACAGCAAAGAGCAGAAAGAAUGGCACAUUUUCCUUUUUCCUCUUGCUUGAGGGUAAUCUGGACAUGUCAUGUAUUCAUUUCUAUUUCAAUAUCUGCGUAUCUGUAAAAAUCCUAUAUUCAGCAAAAUCAGAAAAUGAGGUCAAUAAUUAGUUUAAAACACAUCCAUGGGUGUGGUCAGUCUUACUGUUGCUUAAUUUAGGGUACUAGUGACCCAGGGGAUGUGAGUUCCUCCAUUGGGGCGCUGGCCUUGGUGGCUCUCUGGCUGGGGCUGGGUGAGAGCCCCCGUGAGGUACAGGCACUGCAAGCUGAGCAGCUACAGUUUCUGCAAGUGGCAACGGGGCUGCUCUCUGACAAAAUCAGAUCUUCAGUAAAACAGCAGUGGUGUGCAGACAGCAAACACAAAACACGAUGCCUUCCUGUUCUGUGCUGGCUUUUUGUUUUGCCCUGCUGAAUGUGGCUGCCUUUCCUGGAUCAUUGCAGGCUAAAGAGAAUUCCGCCUGGUUUCUCAAACCAAGUGGGUUCCAGCUUUCUCAAAAUGAUGGGAGCCUGGGGAGCUGAGAGUAACCGAGCCAAGUCAGGAGACCAGCAAAAUUCAGUAUUUCAUAGAGAUUUUCUCUAGACAUCAAGUGAAACAUAUGUUUGUUUUUUCUUUGCUCUUUCAGUGGUGCCGCAAGAAAGUAAUGUAUUUUAUUUAUGGCUGUGCAGCCAGUGCUGGAUUUCACAAAAGGAAAAUGAACUUGCAUUUCCUGUGUUCUAAAUAGCAGAGACAAAACUUGGGAAAU
rnacentral:lncRNA from 1 species